AUUGAACGCUGGCGGCAUGCUUUACACAUGCAAGUCGAACGGUAACAGGGUGCUUGCACCGCUGACGAGUGGCGAACGGGUGAGUAAUGCGUCGGAACGUGCCGAGUAGUGGGGGAUAACGCAUCGAAAGGUGUGCUAAUACCGCAUACGUACUGAGGUAGAAAGUGGGGGACCUUCGGGCCUCACGCUAUUCGAGCGGCCGACGACUGAUUAGCUAGUUGGUGAGGUAAAGGCUCACCAAGGCGACGAUCAGUAGCGGGUCUGAGAGGAUGGUCCGCCACCAGGGGACUGAGACACGGCCCAGACUCCUGCGGGAGGCAGCAGUGGGGAAUUUUGGACAAUGGGCGCAAGCCUGAUCCAGCCAUGCCGCGUGUCUGAAGAAGGCCUUCGGGUUGUAAAGGACUUUUGUCCGGGAGCAAAUGCCUGGUGUUAAUAGCACUGGGAGCUGAGAGUACCGGAAGAAUAAGCACCGGCUAACUAUGUGCCAGCAGCCGCCGUAAAAC
rnacentral:rRNA from 1 species